GGAAAGGUAAUGAUAACAUGGAGAAACGUGAGUGAUGAAUCAAUAAAAUAAGUUAACAUUGAGCAUGAAUUGUAACGUAACGUUAAUGCAGUAGAAAAAUUAAAUCAAUCUCGGUUGAAGCUUGAAUACAAUAUAAAAAAAAAAAAAACUUCUUGAACUAUAAUUAAAGGACGUUAAAAUGCUGCCAGUGUGCUUCCCAAGAUAAAGAAAAAGAUAGUGAAUACAACGUUUCAGCUGUAGCCCUCCAUUGGCGGCUUCUCCAAGGAAUAUCUCAUGCUGUCCCUGCACCCAAAACUGUUCCAGCCGAAGCUAAAGAAAAAAAAAUGAGUGGUGGUUGGUUGUUAACGUUCCAGCACUUUCUUUUUUCCAAAAACUACAGCUCAACCAUUUUUAUGUGACGACUGCCCUCCUACUAAGAGGCCAAGUGUUGCCUCUAAAUGAGGUGGGUCCACCUUAUUUGCAAAACCCUAGGUGCCAUGUGUCCU
rnacentral:lncRNA from 1 species